GAUGAACGCUGGCGGCGUGCCUAAUACAUGCAAGUCGAGCGAACAGACGAGGAGCUUGCUCCUCUGACGUUAGCGGCGGACGGGUGAGUAACACGUGGAUAACCUACCUAUAAGACUGGGAUAACUUCGGGAAACCGGAGCUAAUACCGGAUAAUAUAUUGAACCGCAUGGUUCAAUAGUGAAGGACGGUUUUGCUGUCACUUAUAGAUGGAUCCGCGCCGCAUUAGCUAGUUGGUAAGGUAACGGCUUACCAAGGCAACGAUGCGUAGCCGACCUGAGAGGGUGAUCGGCCACACUGGAACUGAGACACGGUCCAGACUCCUACGGGAGGCAGCAGUAGGGAAUCUUCCGCAAUGGGCGAAAGCUUGACGGAGCAACGCCGCGUGAGUGAUGAAGGUCUUCGGAUCGUAAAACUCUGUUAUUAGGGAAGAACAAAUGUGUAAGUAACUAUGCAUGUCUUGACGGUACCUAAUCAGAAAGCCACGGCUAACUACGUG
rnacentral:rRNA from 1 species